CAGUUUAUCUGUAAGGCCUCUUGUACCUCUAAAAUCCUUUCAUUCUUUUAUUGUAUCCAUAAGUUACUUAAAUAAUAAAUGAGUAGAUUUAGUUUUAAAUGUGCAUCU